GUGUCACCCAGGCUGGAGUGCGGUGGGGCAAUCAUAGCUCACUGCUGGCUUGAAUUCCCAGGCUCAAGUGAUCCUCCCACCUCAGCCUCCUGAGCUGGGACUACAGGCACACAGCACCACCCCCGGCUACAAAAUUUUCUUUAUAAAGCAUGAAACCAUUAUGUCACUUCCCUACUUAAAACUGUGUAAAAUGAUUUCAGUGGCCCUCACUGCUUGCAUGAUAAAAUCUAAUGUCCAGGUACUGGCCUGCAUGGCUUCUUAAGAACUGGCUCAUGCCUCUCUUUGGAGGGCCAGUCUCCCUCAAGUCCCUCACCUGUGGCUUCAGUCACACCAGACCUCUUGGGGCUUCUGGAACCUGUGGCCUGCUUUCAGUUGUGGAUAUUUGCUGAAUGGAUUCUUCCAUUCAUCCAAACCGUCCAUUCAUUCUUUCAACACACACACACACACACACACACACGUAUAUACACACAUACACACAUUAUACACACAUACACACACACGUAUAUAUUAUUGGGAAGCCCCCUGAGCCAGAAUAGGUUCAGAGACUCCCUCAACAAAUAUUUUUUGAGCACUUGCUAUAUGCAAGACACUUCUAGGUGCUAGAAAUAUGCAGUGAACAAGACACAAAAUCUUUAUUUCCAUGGAGCUUAUAUUCUUAUAAGCUUACACAAACUUAUAUUCUAGUCUUAUAUUGUGUCUUCUAGGGAAGACCAGCAAAAAGAAAUAAAUAAACAGGAAAUGCAUCAAAAAGACAGAAACAGGAAAUGUAUCAGGUGGUGUGACAGUAUGAUGGUAUGAUGUGCUAGGCAGAGAAUUAAAGAAGGAUCACAUGACAUAGUGCGUGGGAAGACCCUGUCUACUGAAUGGCCAGGGAGGGCCUCUCUCAGGGGCACCCUUGAGGCUGAGAUCUGAAUGAACUACUCUCGUGAAGAUCAGGGUAAAGAGCAUUCCAGGCAGAGGGAACAGAUAAUACAAAGGACUUAGGGUGAGAACGAACUGACUUUUAGAAUAAACACCCUGGUUAGCUAAAGCCAGGGCAUUAAAAGGACACAAUGAAGAAAAUGCCUCUAAGGGAGAUAGAACUGAAGAGAGAUCAUAGCUGGUUGUGGAGCCAAAGGUAAAUUAUUCUUUAAGAUGUACUGGAUACUUAUUGAUAGCUGCUAAUAGCAAAAUAAAAAAGGUUCUGUUGUUCACAACUGAUGCACAAAGGUACAUAGGAAUGUAGGGAGCAGACACCCCCUCCACAUUUCACUUGGAGCCAUGCGAUCUGUGUCAAGAUGGCCCAUGUGAAGAGCCACCAGUUAUAGUUCAUGUGGGUUUCCAUUAUUCUUUGGGCCUUCACUUUGCCUAAGGCACACAGUUAAUAUAACCACAAGAAUGUGAACACUUUUCUUUGUUCUGAAAUAUGCUUUUAACCUUUACAGCGGGAAAGGCCCUUAAUUUAUCUAUUCCUUAUUAUUUUCCAGCCUCAUGUUUUCUAUUUCCUUUCUGUGCUCCCUGAAAAACAAGAUGCCAUGUCUAAAAUCCUGUGUGCCUUUGUGCAGGGCAAAGCCAUGUCCUCGUGCACAGUCAUGGGGCAUGGCCGAGGGUUAUGUAACAAGAGCUGUGCCUAGUGCAGUUGGCUCCUGCAGGAGACCAUGGUGUGGCAACUACAAAGCUCAUCGCAGAUUACACAUAGGAAUCUGGACUUCUGGUUUCUCUUCAAAGACUUGGAUCCACACUUCUGAAAAACAGAUGGUUGGCGUUCACAGUGGCUUCUGCUUCUAUACAGAUCUCUGCUUCUAGCUGUUCUUCCACUCUAUCAACUAAUAUUUCUUUUGCAAAGCUAGGAGGCUCGAUCAAGUCUUCAGCAGACAUCAUGUGACCUUGAGGAUGGAUGUCACAUGCUGGAGGAAACAGAAGGCCGAAACCCUGAUGACUUCACAGAGCUGCCAAAGCAGUUCCUGACUGUUUACUCCGGGUCUUUAACAAAGUGAUGAAAAGAAAUCCUUGCAGUAUGAAAACAACUUUUCUAUUCCAUGGAGCCAAACCUCAUUAUAACAGAUAACGUGACCCUCAGCGAUAUCCAAGUAUUUCCCUGUUCUCAUCUAUACUAUGGCAAAGGGGCAAAUACCUCUCAGUAAAGAAAGACAUAACAACUUGUAUCUUGGGCAAGGCAUUUCUUCUGGUAGAACUCUGUACACAGAAUAAAACAGAUCUGUUUGUGCUUAUCUUUCUCCUUAGAAUUAUUGAAUUUGAAGUCUUUCACAGGGUGGGGGUGGAGUGAAGCUGGGAUUUCAUAAGCAUAUAGUAGUGUCUCUUAGCUUCCAUUUAAAUAUGGGGGUAGAGAUGUGGAGGGCCCAGAAGUGUCAGAGAGGAGAGACAGGCCGCUCUGAUUGCCUUUGUAAAAUGCACAUUUGAGCUUGUGCAAAGCCCUGGGCCUGAGCUCAGAAAAAAGCAAGGACAGGAUUGAGCCUCCUGGUUCAGUUCCCCUGCACACCCUGGGCGGGGAGGGGUUUUUAGAGUCAUGGAGCCCCUAUUUUAUUUUAUUUUUUUUGACCAGGUCUCAUUUGGUCACCCAGCCGGAGUGCAGAGGUACGUACACAGCUCACUGCAGCCUCAACUUCGUGGGCUCAAGCGAUCUUCCUGCCUCAGCCCCCGGAGUUGCUGGAGCUACAGCCCCAUGCCACCACACCUGGCUAACUUUUGUACUUUUUGUAGAGACAGGGUUUUGUCAUAUUGCCCAGGCUGCUCUCGAACUCCUGAGCUUGCGUUUAAGACCAGGUUGCUCAAGUGAUCCACCCACCUCGGCCUCCCAGGGUGCUAGGAUUACAGGCAUGAUCCACCCCUCCUGGUUCAUCUUUCUUAAGCUUGGAGUCAUCUUUUUAAAACAGCCACAAUGAGGUAUAAUUGAUACACAAUACACUGCUUAUAUUUAAAGUGGAUAAUUUGAUAAGUUUUGCCAUAUGUUUACAUCUGUGCAACUGUCACCACAAUCAACAGGGGGAUCAUAUCCAUCACCCGCAAAAGUUUUCUCAGGCCUCUUCCCCCUGAGAAAACCCUCCCCCUGGCAGCCACUGAACUGCUUUCUGUCCCUGCAGAUUCGUUUGCAUUUUCUUAAGCUUUAUAUAAAUGGAAUCAUAGAGUACGUGCUCUUUUGUCUGUCUUCUUUCACUCAGCAUAAUUAUUUUUUAGAUUCAUGUGUCUUGUGUGUGUCAAUUCUUUUCUUUUUAUUGAUGAAUAACAUUCCAUUGUAUGGAUAUACCACAUCUGUACAGUUUGUUUAAUCCAUUCACCUGUUGAUGGACAUUUGGAUCACUUCCAAUAUUUGGCUAUUAAAAUAAAGCUACUCUGAACAUU